rnacentral:rRNA from 1 species
GACAGGAGGGGCAAGCGUUGCUCGGAAUCACUGGGCGUAAAGGGCGCGUAGGCGGGACGCCAAGUCGGUCGUGAAAUCUCCGGGCUCAACCCGGGAGGAGUCGGCCGAAACUGGUGUUCUUGAGGGAGGCAGAGGAGUCUGGAAGUUCCCGGUGUAGCGGUGAAAUGCGCAGAUAUCAGGAGGAACACCAAUUGCGAAGGCAGCUCGCUGGGACGUUACUGACGCUGAGACGGCGAAAGCGUGGGGAGCAAACAGG